GAUGCUAUUCUAGAGAUAGAAAGUUACUUCGGUACAUCGGUGACAGGUGGUGCAUGGUUGUCGUCAGCUCGUGUCGUGAGAUGUUGGGUUAAGUCCCGCAACGAGCGCAACCCCUAUUGUUAGUUGCCAUCAUUCAGUUGGGCACUCUAGCGAGACUGCCGGUAAUAAACCGGAGGAAGGUGGGGAUGACGUCAAAUCAUCAUGCCCCCUAUGACCUGGGCUACACACGUGCUACAAUGGUUGGUACAACGAGUUGCGAGUCGGUGACGGCGAGCUAAUCUCCUAAAGCCAAUCUCAGUUCGGAUUGUAGGCUGCAACUCGCCUACAUGAAGUCGGAAUCGCUAGUAAUCGCGGAUCAGCACGCCGCGGUGAAUACGUUCCCGGGCCUU
rnacentral:rRNA from 1 species